UGGGGAAUAUUGCACAAUGGGCGCAAGCCUGAUGCAGCCAUGCCGCGUGUGUGAAGAAGGCCUUCGGGUUGUAAAGCACUUUUAGCGGGGAGGAAGGCGGUGAGGUUAAUAACCUCAUCGAUUGACGUUACCUGCAGAAGAAGCACCGGCUAACUCCGUGCCAGCAGCCGCGGUAAUACGGAGGGUGCAAGCGUUAAUCGGAAUUACUGGGCGUAAAGCGCACGCAGGCGGUCUGUCAAGUCGGAUGUGAAAUCCCCGGGCUCAACCUGGGAACUGCAUUCGAAACUGGCAGGCUAGAGUCUUGUAGAGGGGGGUAGAAUUCCAGGUGUAGCGGUGAAAUGCGUAGAGAUCUGGGGGGAUACCGGUGGCGAAGACGGCCCCCUGGACAAAGACUGACGCUCAGGUGCGAAAGCGUGGGGAGCAAACAGG
rnacentral:rRNA from 1 species